GAGGUUAGGGUAUCGAACGUUGACUCGACAAUUUUUUCGCGUCUCUUUAGGGAAUUUUCUGACUUUGCGUUUGCCCAGGCAAGAGGAACAACGGAUUGAACAGCUGAUGUUUUACUCAACACCGGCGAAAUGUCAAAAUCGAGACAAAUCACGCUACGAGUGCAGUCAUCGGAAGGGACGAAGCGCGUGGAUGUGUAUUUAUCCGAUGUCGUCUUUACGCUCUUUGAAAAAGUGUUUAACGCUUUCAAUUUGAAGAGUUUUACGUUUGGACUCUACAAGCAACGAAAUCAUCAAGACGAAAUCAUAAGUACUCGCAGCAAAACGCUUUCCGAGAUAGGUCUUUCGCACGGCGAUAUGCUCUACCUUGUGCCAUUUAACGGCGCACAGCUUUGGAAUACUCCAUCUGCCAGUAAUAAUUCACAUAAUUCUUUCGCAGGACCGACCGAUGCAGGAAACAAUACAAACCGUGUCGUGCAAAGUUCAAACGUGAUCGGUUCGCUUCGUAGCCUGCCAAAUGUGGCGGAAGACGACAUAGAUGAACAAUUGUGGAAACUGGAUGGAAAAAUACAGAGAAAACGCGAUGAAAAACUUUGUCGUCAUGGCGUAAAUGGAUGUUGCGUACACUGCUCUCCUUUGGAACCCUUCGAUGAGCUUUAUAUGAAGGAACAAAAUAUCAAACAUUUAUCCUUUCACUCGUAUCUCAGGAAACUCACUGCCGGCGUUGAUAGGGGCAAAUUUAUACAAUUAGACGACAUAUGCUGCCGAGUAAAGACUGGUUGCAAAGAUCAUCCUCCAUGGCCUAGGGGUAUUUGUAGCAAGUGUCAACCUAGCUCUAUCACUUUGAAUCGUCAAACUUAUCGUCACAUAGACAACGUCAUGUUCGAGAAUGCUAGUUUAGUCGAACGUUUUUUGAACUACUGGAGAAGUACCGGUCAUCAACGUAUUGGAUAUUUAUACGGACGAUACGAGAUACACACGGAUGUACCGUUAGGGAUUAGAGCAGUUGUCGCGGCUAUAUACGAACCUCCGCAAGAAAGUACAAAGGAUUCUAUAAAACUUUUGCCAGACGAGAAAGAGGCAUUAGUCGAUGAGUUAGCUCGAUCUCUCAAUUUGAAGAGAAUAGGAUGGAUCUUCACGGAUCUCAUAGCCGAUGAUGUGAAGAAAGGAACGGUGAAACAUGUCCGAAAUAUAGAGAGCCAUUUCUUAUCGGCGCAAGAGUGCAUUAUGGCAGGGUACUUCCAAAAUCAAUUUCUUAAUCCUUGUCGUUUUUCACCCAGUGGUUAUUUUGGUUCCAAGUUCGUAACUGUUUGCGUUACAGGCGAUGAUAAAAAUCAGGUUCACAUGGAAGGCUAUCAAGUAUCAAAUCAAUGUUCUGCACUGGUACGCGAUGCAUGUUUGGUCCCUACGAAAGAUGCACCGGAGCUGGGCUAUGUAAUCGAAUCGACCGAUAAACAAUAUGUUCCAGAUGUCUUCUACAAGGAGAAGGACAGCUAUGGUAAUGAAGUACCAAGGCUAGCAAGACCUCUUCCCGUGGAAUAUUUAUUAGUGGACGUACCCGCGUCCACGCCUCUCACUCCACAAUUUACUUUUUACGCGAACGACGAUAUUACUCCGUUCCUCAUCGAAAACAGAUUGAUCGAUGGACAAGUUCAAGAGUUUCGUUCGUUAUGCGCCUAUAUGCAGCAAUUUAAUUCGGACCAAUUUCUCGAAGCGAUUUCAGAUUUCCACUUGCUUUUGUUCAUUACUACCAUGGAUAUGUUGCCCAUGAAGGAUCACAUGGUACCGUUGCUCGAAGCCGUACGCAACAAAGAUAAACAAAUGGCAAUGGAAUGGGCGCGUUCGGAACAUUGGGCCACGGUGGAACAGUUGAUAUCGGCGACCGCAGCGUCUACGUCGCAAGUUACGCAAGUACCGUUUAAUAGCGGCACGAUCAGACCAUCUUCUUCCUUGCCAGCAGCUAGUACCAGCGUAGCGGUUGGCACGGAAGCUGCUGCGAAUUCGUCCGCUGACCAAGAAUUGUGGACUUGUCCUCAUUGCACUUUUAUCAACGGCGCAGAAUUUUCAAUAUGCGAAAUGUGCAGUCUACCAAGGUAUUCCUAACAAAGUCUCCGUAUUUUACAAACGCCGCGUGCUCUUUAAGGGUGUUCUCUUUAAAUCGUUGUUUAAUUCCGCAGGAUUUGACUCGUCCUGUAUCCUCGCGGAUAUUAUGAUUGUUUUCUACGCAUCUUUGGCCUUAUUUAUGAGUGAAUAAAAAUAAUAAUAAUAAUAACAAUAAUAAUAAUAAAAAAAACAAAGGAUGUUUCCGACUAACGUUAGCUACCCUGCUUUCCUUUGACCUAACGACCAUUCGUUUACAGCCGUCUCACACCCGGACUGUAAAGAAACCCGCAAGUUGUUUCCGAUAGACGACGAAGAUGUUUUCUCGUAGCUGGAUUCUAAAUUCUGAAAUGAGAUCUACGAAACGUCGGUUGGCGUAGUAGUACCGAUGCAACUUGGAUUCUCGUUGUUUCGUGCUAUAGAACUUAAAGUCUUUGUUGAAAACUUGGCUCGAGCGCGAUGGAAAGCGAAAUAUUCGCUUUAGUCGAUUUAAAGAUAUAAACUGCGAUUCGAGUUUGGUUCUGUAUACGUUCUAUUGUGUUCUUAUAUCAGAGUUAGUCGACUUCCUUAAACGGAAGGAACAAAAUAAAAUAUCAAUUUGGUUUGGUAAGCAUAGAA